rnacentral:lncRNA from 1 species
AUGCACGUGCAUCUCAAGAGUGGGGGUGACUUGUAGAAGCGGAGGGAAGAGCUCAGUGGUUUUGCCUUCGACUCCUGACUCCCUGCGUGCCCCUCAUUGCCCUGACCCAACUGGACCUGACCCUGUGUCCCCCUCCCACAGUCCACGCUGGCAGUGUGGGUGAAGUGGCCCAUCCAUCCCAGCGCCCCAGAGCUUGCGGGCCACAAGAGACAGUUUGGCUCUGUCUGCCACCAGGAUCCCAGGGUGUGUGAUGAGCCCUCCUCCGAAGACCCUCAUGAGUGGCCAGAAGACAUCACCAAGUGGCCGAGGCUGUGCACCUGCCCUUUGUACAGCCUGUCCAUCAACCAGCGCCUGCCCCUCUGAGCAAGUAGAUCAAGAGAACUAGAUGGAGACUUGAAAGGUCAAGUGACAUUAUUCCAGUUUGAUAGAGACUCAGUGUGGUGGCCUGCUUGAAGUCAAGGAAGCCACACCGUUUUCUGCUUUAUGAGCCCACCCAUCUUUGCCUCUACCCCCAAACGUGGUGUGGGGCCAAAGGUUGGGGGAGGCCCUGACUCAGCUCGUCCUCAUUUGUGACCCAGAUCUGCACCAAAAACAGCGCUGGGAACCACACCAACCAUCCCCACAUGGACUGUGUCAUCACAGGACGGCCCUGCUGCAUUGGCACCAAGGGCAGGUGUGAGAUCACCUCCCGGGAGUACUGUGACUUCAUGAGGGGCUACUUCCAUGAGGAGGCCACGCUCUGCUCUCAGGUAGGUCUGCAGAGUGUCCGUCGUUCCCCUCCCCCAGCUACUGUGAUGCUGAUAUGCUGCUCUGCGCAGGUGCACUGCAUGGAUGAUGUGUGUGGGCUCCUGCCUUUUCUCAACCCCGAGGUGCCUGACCAGUUCUACCGCCUGUGGCUAUCCCUCUUCCUGCACGCCGGGCAAGUGACACUGUGG